rnacentral:rRNA from 1 species
CCUACGGGAGGCAGCAGUGGGGGAUAUUGCACAAUGGGGGAAACCCUGAUGCAGCGACGCCGCGUGAGUGAAGACGUAUUUCGGUAUGUAAAGCUCUUUCAGCAGGGAAGUAAAUGACAGUACCUGACCAAGAAGCCCCGGCUAACUACGUGCCAGCACCCGAGGUAAUACGUAGGGGGCAAGCGUUAUCCGGAUUUACUGGGCGUAAAGGGAGCGUAGUCGGUUAUGUAAGUCUGGAGGGAAAGCCCGGGGACCAACCCCGGGACUGCUGUGGAAACUGUGUAACUGGAGUUCAGGAGGGGCAGGCGGAAUUCCUGGUGUAGCGGUGAAAUGCGUAGAUAUCAGGAAGAACACCGACGGCGAAGGCGGCCUGCUGGACUGAAACUGACGUUGAGGCUCGAAAGCGUGGGGAGCAAACAGGAUUAGAUACCCGGGUAGUC